rnacentral:rRNA from 1 species
CGUGUAGGCGGUUAGGUAAGUGGAAUGUGAAAUGCCCCGGCUCACCCGGGGACCGGCAUCCCAAACUGCCUGGCUUGAGUAUGGGAGAGGAUGGAGGAAUUCCUGGUGUAGCGGUGAAAUGCGUAGAUAUCAGGAGGAACACCGGUGGCGAAGGCGUCCAUCUGGCCCAAUACUGACGCUGAGGCGCGAAAGCUAGGGGGAGCAAACG